UAUUUGAACCUCGAACCAGGAUCUGUGCUCAGAAUGGAAGUGAGUGUUCGCGCCACAAUGGCUAACUUGUCCAGGUGAACUGAACCUGCUGAGCACGUCGGGAUUCUGCUGUAACACCAACUACACAACGCUGCUGAGACAAAGAUCCCCCAGUCUGGGGAGAGAGCUGUUGUUUGUAACCUGUAAGGAGCCCAACGCUGAAGGGACAGCAUGGUCACCAUUCCCAAGGGGCGAUGGCUCAUUUUCCAACAGGCCCCUUGUAGAAAAGACCAGACAGGUUAACUAUGAGCAUCCAUUGGUAUCGGACAGCCGGCGGGAACGGUGUAGCGCUCCACACCAUCGAACAGGAAUAAACAUCUGGAUACAGCAAAUACGAAGUCAUCUUCUGAAAGGCGCUGAGCUGGUUGAAGAAGGGGUAACGGGUCCAAUAGCCAUGCUGUGCCUCUAUGCGUGUGUGUGUGUGUGUGUGUGUGUGUGUGUGUGUGUGAAUAUGAGUGACAGGAAAGAGGAAUGCGUGUGUUAGAAAGCUCGCAACUGCACUUCAGACCCAAGAUUUAAAAACACAGUAUGAUAAGAACAAUUACAAUGUGCAAUGAAAUGUAAUGAGGAAGAGAGUCACCCCAGGGAAAGAAUCCAGUGAAAACACCCCAGCGAGGACCAUGGUAGUUGGGAGUCGUACAAGGAAGCCUCAGGAAGGGGGUGAGUCAACCUCUAGCUUGGCACCAGUUGAUCCUUCCAGGACUCAGCCAGUGAGAGCACCGAGUUGUGAGUCAGGAGAUGUUCGUUCUAA